UGCUUCAAUUGCCGGCGACCGGCGCACGGGUGAGUAACGCGUAUCCAACCUUCCGUACACUCAGGGAUAGCCUUUCGAAAGAAAGAUUAAUACCUGAUGGUAAGAUGAGAUUGCAUGAUAGCAUCAUUAAAGAUUUAUCGGUGUACGAUGGGGAUGCGUUCCAUUAGGUAGUAGGCGGGGUAACGGCCCACCUAGCCAACGAUGGAUAGGGGUUCUGAGAGGAAGGUCCCCCACAUUGGAACUGAGACACGGUCCAAACUCCUACGGGAGGCAGCAGUGAGGAAUAUUGGUCAAUGGACGAGAGUCUGAACCAGCCAAGUAGCGUGAAGGAUGAAGGUCCUACGGAUUGUAAACUUCUUUUAUAAGGGAAUAAACCCUCCCACGUGUGGGAGCUUGUAUGUACCUUAUGAAUAAGCAUCGGCUAACUCCGUGCCAGCAGCCGCGGUAAUACGGAGGAUGCGAGCGUUAUCCGGAUUUAUUGGGUUUAAAGGGAGCGCAGACGGGUCGUUAAGUCAGCUGUGAAAGUUUGGGGCUCAACCUUAAAAUUGCAGUUGAUACUGGCGUCCUUGAGUGCGGUUGAGGUGUGCGGAAUUCGUGGUGUAGCGGUGAAAUGCUUAGAUAUCACGAAGAACUCCGAUUGCGAAGGCAGCACACUAAUCCGUAACUGACGUUCAUGCUCGAAAGUGUGGGUAUCAAACAGGAUUAGAUACCCUGGUAGUCCACACGGUAAACGAUGGAUAC
rnacentral:rRNA from 1 species